UACGGAGGGGGCUAGCGUUGUUCGGAAUUACUGGGCGUAAAGGGUGCGUAGGCGGUUCGUUAAGUCUGUUGUGAAAUCCCCGGGCUCAACCUGGGAAUGGCAAUGGAUACUGGCAGGCUAGAGUGUGUCAGAGGAUGGUGGAAUUCCCGGCGUAGCGGUGAAAUGCGUAGAGAUCGGGAGGAACAUCAGUGGCGAAGGCGGCCAUCUGGGACAACACUGACGCUGAGGCACGAAGGCGUGGGGAGCAAACAGG
rnacentral:rRNA from 1 species